ACCGAAUCCACUCACAAGCCUUUGGUCGGCCCGAGGUUAUAGUAGAAGAUACUUGCCCAAGGUGCCAUGCACUGUGACUGAACCCGGAAUCAUGUGGUUGAAUCAUUAAAAUAAAUACCAGUCAAAUACUGUGGUCAAUAAUUGGAACUGCUCUAAGAAUGCACCUGUUGGUACAGAGAACAACAGAUGAGAGAGGGUACUUGCCCUUGGUGGUCAGAACUAUUGCAGGUCAUAAUAAGUCUGUAAGUUGGCAGAAACAGGAGAGCAUAUCAGAUUCAAGAUACUUUAAAGGAGAGUUUCUAAA